rnacentral:lncRNA from 1 species
UGUUGAAGAAAGGAAGAAAAAAAGCUAAAAAAAAAAAAGAAUAAGAAGAAGUUAAAAACCCAUAUCAGUGAAGCUCAAAGCUAGAUCUACAAUAGCCUAGCACUAAGACUCAAAACGAUGCCAUUUUGAUAGCUAAAAACCAAAGGCCAUCAAUUAUUAAAAUGGUGCAAUUUUUAAGAAGUGAAAAAAAAAAUUAUAGUAGGAAAGUUGGAGGCAUGUGAAAGAAAGAGACCUAACUUUCGUCGCCUAAGAAAAAAAAGAAGAGUAGUGACAGAAGAGAAGGAGAGCUUAAUGGAAGACCAAGAGAUGCGAACUGGUGUAGAUCCGACACGAAAGCGAUAGAAACGUAGCUACGAGCUUAGGACCGAACGAAGAGCUUGGGGGAGACUUAGAGAAGAAGCAGAAAAACAAAAAGCUCAAAGAGAAGGAAGCUGGUGGAGUGGACUUGCAGAAGUAGACAUAGAAGCUGAGUGUAGAAGGAGACUUGGAACCAAGCAGAAGGGAGAGAAGCUGAAAAAGAAUCAAGUAGUUUAUUUAUCUAAUUUUUAAUUAGCAUAUUUUUGGGAUAGAAAUUUUCAGGGAUUAUUUUUAUGAAAUUGAAAUGCUAGUGUUUGAAUUUUUUAUAAAUUUAAUCUUGAUUAUUAUAUGAUUAUAUUUUUUUCAAAUAUAACUGUUGUUAUUAAAUCCACUAUGUCCGACUAAAUUUUCUUCGCUAGAGUGAUUAAUGUAGUCUGAAUCAAAG